GAAUUGAAAUGAAAAGCUAAUUAAAGACACAAAAUUAGAAACAUAUUAUUUCCCAAAAUUGCUUUGAUGAUGCUUUUUUAAUUUUUUUUUUUUUUUAUUCCAGCUUUUACCAGGAAGUUGACAGCUCUGCAAGGAGUCUGUGUCCCAAAGGGAUGGGAGUCCCUGGCCGUGUAGAUGAGGCAUGAAGAGAUUGGGAAUACUUCCUAAGGACACAAGGGAAACCUGAGCCAAUGCCAGGAAGUCACAAAUCUUCAUUCAACCUUACCACACUCAGCAUCUGCUCAGGAACAAUUCCCAGCUGAAAGAGCUGUGAGCAUCACCAGCUUCUUUCAGUACAUCCUCAAAAAUGGACCCUCUGUGAUGGGAAAAACAUCUCCAAAAUGGGAUUUUUGAUCUGUGCCUCAGGUUUGUUGUGCCCUGGCAUGCUGUAGGGCCAGCUUCCAAUUGGCCCUUUCCAAAUAUCACCAGAGGCAUCUCUAUGGCUGUUUAUCACCAAGAAAAUCCAGUCCAAGAGAGCAGCAACUUCAGCAGCAAUCCCCAGGAAAAGCACAGCCAGGCCCAUGUUCCACAGUCUCUUCCAGCACAUCUCCACUAAAUGAUUCCCAUCAAAGCUACAGCAGUUGUUAAUAUCUACUAUUUUUUUUCCCUCUGCAAAGAUGUAUUUAUAAAUGCAUUUUACACCC